AAUGGACGAAAGUCUGAACCAGCCAUGCCGCGUGCAGGAUGACUGCCUAUGGGUUGUAAACUGCUUUUAUAUACCAAGAACCCCCCGACGUGUCGGGGGCUGACGGUAGUAUAUGAAUAAGCACCGGCUAACUCCGUGCCAGCAGCCGCGGUAAUACGGAGGGUGCAAGCGUUAUCCGGAUUUAUUGGGUUUAAAGGGUCCGUAGGCGGGAUAUUAAGUCAGUGGUGAAAGCCUGCAGCUCAACUGCAGAACUGCCAUUGAUACUGAUAUUCUUGAGUGUAACUGGAGUAGGCAGAAUAUGUCAUGUAGCGGUGAAAUGCUUAGAUAUGACAUAGAAUACCAAUCGCGAAGGCGGCUUACUAAGUUAUUACUGACGCUGAGGGACGAAAGCGUGGGGAGCGAACAGGAUU
rnacentral:rRNA from 1 species